CUACGGGGGGCAGCAGUGAGGAAUAUUGCACAAUGGGGGGAACCCUGAUGCAGCAACGCCGCGUGGAGGAUGACGCAUUUCGGUGUGUAAACUCCUUUUAUAUGUCAAGAAAAUGACGGUAGCAUAUGAAUAAGCACCGGCUAACUCCGUGCCAGCAGCCGCGGUAAUACGGAGGGUGCAAGCGUUACUCGGAAUCACUGGGCGUAAAGGACGCGUAGGCGGGUUGGAAAGUCAGGUGUGAAAUCCUACAGCUUAACUGUAGAGCUGCACUUGAAACUUCUAAUCUAGAGUCUGGGAGGGGGAGAUGGAAUUAGUGGUGUAGGGGUAAAAUCCGUAGAUAUCACUAGGAAUACCUAAAGCGAAGGCGAUCUCCUGGAACACUACUGACGCUAAGGCGUGAAAGCGUGGGGAGCAAACAGGAUUAGAUACCCUUGUAGUC
rnacentral:rRNA from 1 species